rnacentral:rRNA from 1 species
GCUAACAUGCAGUCGAGCGGCAGCACGAGUGCUUGCACUUGGUGGCGAGUGGCGAACGGGUGAGUAAUGCAUCGAGAACGUGUCUUAAAGUGGGGGAUAACGCAUCGAAAGAUGUGCUAAUACCGCACAUUCUCUGAGGAGGAAAGUAGGGGAUCGAAAGACCUUAUGCUUUUAGAGCGGCCGAUGUCUGAUUAGCUAGUUGGUGAGGUAAUGGCUUACCAAGGCCACGAUCAGUAGUUGGUCUGAGAGGACGACCAGCCACACUGGGACUGAGACACGGCCCACACUCCUACGGGAGGCAGCAGUGGGGAAUUUUGGACAAUGGGCGCAAGCCUGAUCCAGCAAUGCCGCGUGAGUGAAGAAGGCCUUCGGGUUGUAAAGCUCUUUCAGUUGAGAAGAAAAAAUUGUGACUAAUAAUCACAAUUGAUGACGGUAUCAACAGAAGAAGCACCGGCUAACUACGUGCCAGCAGCCGCA